AAAGAGGAUCACACUACAAGAAAC
rnacentral:miRNA from 1 species